GUGACCUCAAAUCAGGUAGGACUACCCGCUGAACUUAAGCAUAUCAAUAAGCGGAGGAAAAGAAACUAACAAGGAUUCCCCUAGUAACUGCGAGUGAAGCGGGAAAAGCUCAAAUUUAAAAUCUGGCGGUCUUUUGGCUGUCCGAGUUGUAAUCUAGAGAAGUGCUAUCCGCGCUGGACCGUGUACAAGUCUCCUGGAAUGGAGCAUCAUAGAGGGUGAGAAUCCCGUCUUUGACAUGGACUGCCAGGGCUUUGUGAUGCGCUCUCAAAGAGUCGAGUUGUUUGGGAAUGCAGCUCAAAAUGGGUGGUAAAUUCCAUCUAAAGCUAAAUAUUGGCGAGAGACCGAUAGCGAACAAGUACCGUGAGGGAAAGAUGAAAAGAACUUUGGAAAGAGAGUUAAACAGUACGUGAAAUUGCUGAAAGGGAAACGCUUGAAGUCAGUCGCGUCAUCCAGGGAUCAACCUUGCUUUUGCUUGGUGCACUUUCUGGUUUGAUGGGUCAGCAUCAAUUUUGACCAUUGGAAAAAGGUUAAGGGAAUGUGGCAUCUUUGGAUGUGUUAUAGCCCUUGGUCACAUACAAUGGUUGGGAUUGAGGAACUCAGCACGCCGCAAGGCCGGGUUUAAACCACGU
rnacentral:rRNA from 1 species